CAGCCGCCGCGGUAACACGUAGGGUGCGAGCGUUAAUCGGAAUUACUGGGCGUAAAGCGUGCGCAGGCGGUUGUGUAAGACAGGUGUGAAAUCCCCGGGCUUAACCUGGGAACUGCGCUUGUGACUGCACAGCUAGAGUAUGGCAGAGGGGGGUGGAAUUCCACGUGUAGCAGUGAAAUGCGUAGAGAUGUGGAGGAACACCGAUGGCGAAGGCAGCCCCCUGGGCCAAUACUGACGCUCAUGCACGAAAGCGUGGGGAGCAAGCAGGAUUAGAUACCCGAGUAGUCCCUGUCUCUUAUAA
rnacentral:rRNA from 1 species